rnacentral:lncRNA from 1 species
GGAAAUCAAGCGGUGAUUUUUUUUUACUCGAUUCACUUUGCCGAAGAAUGAAGCACGUUAAUAUUUGAUGCAGUACUGUAAUUUAUUUUUUUUGGUGCAGCACGUUUCAAUUUUUAGAUAGGAAGCUCUGUUAUUUUUUUUUUAUUUGAAGAAAAACAUUUUUCAUCUUUCUUUAACAAGUGUGCACGGUGUGGUAAUUUUCUUUUUAAAGAAGCUGCAAAUUAAUUUUGUUGAUGCCAUGAUUUUAGAAUAAGAAGCGUUGCUACAUUAGUUUGCAUUUGGAAGGAUGUUUAUGCUUUAUAGAAUGAAUAGCAUUGGUUCAUUUAGUUUGGUGAGACACACGAUUUACGAGGCAGCAUUUUCCAUUUAUUUUCCUUGCUAGAGAUUGUGCACACAUGG